AAAACUUUCUCAGUACAAUUUUCAAAGUUUUCACCUUUUUCUUCUUCUCUCUAAAACUCUGAUUCUGAUGUCGAUUUAUCCGUGAGAGAAAUACUUAAUAUAUGAAGCUCUUUAUCAAAAAAGAAAAAAAAAAUACUUGAUAUAUGUGUUACUAGCUGGUAGUUAAUAUUUUGUUCACAGGAGCGUUGAGAUCACACAAGGUCAGGUCCAACGGUCGUUGCAGUUACAGAUUGAAAAAACAGGGGUAAUUGAUACUUACAGCUGAUGUUUAAGAAACAACAAAAGUUAGAAGAGAACAAGAGUUCUUCCCCAGAGCCAUCCCAUCACCAAAUGCGACGUGGAUGUGUCGCUACCGUGUCCGUCAACGGUUCUCUGUCACAUGGCUACUUGAAGCCGCUACAGAUCCUAAACUUGGAGAUGAAGAGAUCGGUACUCGAGUCUUCAGUUCGUGGUGAUUCCAUGUGGCUCCCUCCUCAUCCACCACGGGAUCUCAGUUCACCUCGACAUGAUCCGCCGUGAAAGCUCCGGGAUCCGGCCCGAAGAGAAAGCUCGUGAGCUCCAAUGGCCAUUCUUUGCUAUUUUGCUAGUCUGGUCCUUCAUCUUUUGUAAAGUUAUUUUUUUUAACCCAAAGCCUUUACAGUGUGAAGAAAUAUCAUCUUGAUUCAGCCCCAGACAGUUUAAUGUAGCCCCAAUCGAAUAUUCAGCAUUGGUCCCUGGCCUCUUGUUAACAUCAUAUUGGACCUAAGA